UAUAAGACUCUCGGCAACGGAUAUCUUGGCUCUCGCAUCGAUGAAGAACGUAGCAAAAUGCGAUACCUGGUGUGAAUUGCAGAAUCCCGUGAACCAUCGAGUUUUUGAACGCAAGUUGCGCCUGAGGCUUCUUGGUUGAGGGCACGUCUGCCUGGGCGUCACGC
rnacentral:rRNA from 1 species